GUUUUGCUUUUAAAGGGUUUGAUUCAGGGAGACAUCCAUUUAUCCUCAGUGUUUAUGGCUUCUGAAAAGCUAUUCUUGGAAAGGUUUGUGAUCAAGUAUCAAGAACAUGUGCCCCAAUUACUGGAUAUCUAUCAAGGAAAAAUGGGUCUUACAGAACUUGGGUUUGGGUUUGAUGAUAAGUUUAAGAUUUCUGGGUUAAAAAAUGUCUAGCCAGCAGCAUGUCGAUCUUAAACACAUUAAUUGCAAUUUGAUGUUGCUUUCUUAUUGAUUCCUUUGGUGCAUUGAUAAAGCUUUAAUGAGUAACUUUGAUAACUUGCUAUUACUUGUCAUUAGAUUUUGUUUUCUUUUCUU
rnacentral:misc_RNA from 1 species